GUAAAUCCGGUUCACUUUAACACUGAGGCGUGACGACGAGGCACUACGGUGCUGAAGCAACAAAUGCCCUGCUUCCAGGAAAAGCCUCUAAGCAUCAGGUAACAUCAAAUCGUACCCCAAACCGACACAGGUGGUCAGGUAGAGAAUACCAAGGCGCUUGAGAGAACUCGGGUGAAGGAACUAGGCAAAAUGGUGCCGUAACUUCGGGAGAAGGCACGCUGACACGUAGGUGAAGUGAUUUACUCAUGGAGCUGAAGUCAGUCGAAGAUACCAGCUGGCUGCAACUGUUUAUUAAAAACACAGCACUGUGCAAACACGAAAGUGGACGUAUACGGUGUGACGCCUGCCCGGUGCCGGAAGGUUAAUUGAUGGGGUCAGCGCAAGCGAAGCUCCUGAUCGAAGCCCCGGUAAACGGCGGCCGUAACUAUAACGGUCCUAAGGUAGCGAAAUUCCUUGUCGGGUAAGUUCCGACCUGCACGAAUGGCGUAAUGAUGGCCAGGCUGUCUCCACCCGAGACUCAGUGAAAUUGAACUCGCUGUGAAGAUGCAGUGUACCCGCGGCAAGACGGAAAGACCCCGUGAACCUUUACUAUAGCUUGACACUGAACAUUGAGCCUUGAUGUGUAGGAUAGGUGGGAGGCUUUGAAGUGUGGACGCCAGUCUGCAUGGAGCCGACCUUGAAAUACCACCCUUUAAUGUUUGAUGUUCUAACGUGGACCCGUUACCCGGGUUGCGGACAGUGUCUGGUGGGUAGUUUGACUGGGGCGGUCUCCUCCUAAAGAGUAACGGAGGAGCACGAAGGUUGGCUAAUCCUGGUCGGACAUCAGGAGGUUAGUGCAAUGGCAUAAGCCAGCUUGACUGCGAGCGUGACGGCGCGAGCAGGUGCGAAAGCAGGUCAUAGUGAUCCGGUGGUUCUGAAUGGAAGGGCCAUCGCUCAACGGAUAAAAGGUACUCCGGGGAUAACAGGCUGAUACCGCCCAAGAGUUCAUAUCGACGGCGGUGUUUGGCACCUCGAUGUCGGCUCAUCACAUCCUGGGGCUGAAGUAGGUCCCAAGGGUAUGGCUGUUCGCCAUUUAAAGUGGUACGCGAGCUGGGUUUAGAACGUCGUGAGACAGUUCGGUCCCUAUCUGCCGUGGGCGCUGGAGAACUGAGGGGGGCUGCUCCUAGUACGAGAGGACCGGAGUGGACGCAUCACUGGUGUUCGGGUUGUCAUGCCAAUGGCACUGCCCGGUAGCUAAAUGCGGAAGAGAUAAGUGCUGAAAGCAUCUAAGCACGAAACUUGCCCCGA
rnacentral:rRNA from 3 species